GGUGAAACCUAAUUGGCCUGGAGAAGAGCUUGCGUCUGAUUAGCUAGUUGGUGGGGUAAGAGCCUACCAAGGCGACGAUCAGUAGCUGGUCUGAGAGGAUGAGCAGCCACACUGGGACUGAGACACGGCCCAGACUCCUACGGGAGGCAGCAGUGGGGAAUUUUCCGCAAUGGGCGAAAGCCUGACGGAGCAACGCCGCGUGAGGGAGGAAGGUCUUUGGAUUGUAAACCUCUUUUCUCAAGGAAGAAGUUCUGACGGUACUUGAGGAAUCAGCCUCGGCUAACUCCGUGCCAGCAGCCGCGGUAAUACGGGGGAGGCAAGCGUUAUCCGGAAUUAUUGGGCGUAAAGCGUCCGCAGGUGGUCAGCCAAGUCUGCCGUCAAAUCAGGUUGCUUAACGACCUAAAGGCGGUGGAAACUGGCAGACUAGAGAGCAGUAGGGGUAGCAGGAAUUCCCAGUGUAGCGGUGAAAUGCGUAGAGAUUGGGAAGAACAUCGGUGG
rnacentral:rRNA from 1 species